GGCCAUAAUUUAAUUGUCAGUACAUUAUUCUAUAGAGUUAAUUGCUCAAUUGCUGGGAAUAAAUACUUCAUUAGCGGCAAUUAAAAACAAUAGCCACUAAACUUAUGCUUUCCGCUAUCAUUGUAUUAUAUUUUAUCUUCUUUUUUUUUUUUUUUCUUUCUGAAUCAUUAGUAUUUUAACUUCCCUCCAAUAUUUUUGGCACGCUAAAUAUUCCCUCCAAAAAAAUAUUCUCUCUUUUAGAAUCAAUUUACUCAUAUUUCCAGCCAAAACCCUAGCAGCCAAAAUCGAUGAGCGACUUGAACUUUCUGCGACAAUAUCUUCUCCAUCUCUUUCUCAGACAAGCUUGUUGUCCUUCUAUACUAUUGACAGGUAUAUAAUAUUUAAAAUACUUCUAUCAUCUCCUACAAGUAAUUCAAGUUGGCUAGGUAGUUCACAUAUUACAGAAAAUAGUUAUGGUAGGUAAACAUACAUCUUUAUCAUUUCUUUAUCAUGAGCAAAGGUACGUCUUUUCUCAUUGUCAAGGUUUCUUACUGAGCCUUUGGUCUUAUUAAUCUUAAUGUUGGACAAUUUUUCAUUAUAAAUUCACUUGAAUGUUGGACUCACUUGUAUUUUCUUUUUCUAAUUAUUUGAGGUCCUAUUGAAACCUGUGAAAUGUAAUUUACCUUUUAGGGACUCACAUUGGUAUUGCUUGGUUUUUAUUCCCUAUGUGCUAUUGAGCAUUUACAUUGUCACGAACUUAAAAUUCUCGAGGGUUUAUGAUAGCUUCAUGAGUGAGGUGAAAUUUUCCUUAUUUUUAACUACAAGAUACCAGAAAGUAUUGCUACUAUGUUAACAAUACUGUUUUUGAUAAAAAAAGAAUUGCUACUAUGUUCUUAUAUUUGCGAUAACACUGAUAUUUCUGUAGAUUUUGCACCUGCAUAUUUAUUUGUUCUUUUCCGGAUUUAGCUUUAAGUGGCUGAAAAUGAUCAAAUGAGGCUAAGGAUUUUGAAGAAAAGUAUUUAUGGUGAUCAAUAGUGCCGUGAGUUGGACACUUGACAACCUUUUCUCCAGUUAAUUAAGCUUCUAUAUAUUGUCUCCAUGCAGAAUAUGCUUCUCUUCCUUUAAACGGGGAAGAGAAACGACAGUAACUACUUUUAAUAAAAAAGUCUAUCAUAUCUCAUAUAGGCACCUUGUAAGUCACAUGUUGUUUCCUUAGUAUGUUCAUAGAUGAAAUAUGGAGAGAUCAUUCUUUUUAAUAAAAGUAAAAGUGAUGGAAAAUAUCCCGGUAUAAGAUGAGAUAUUUCAUUGAAAAUCAGAAAGAAGCACUUAAUACAGUUAGUUGCACAUGACUCUAUUUGACAAACCUCUUUCUGUAUUCUCAUAUGCAAAAACAGGUAGAUGAAAUGCUUAGCUGUUGAGAAUACAUAAUACAACUUUAAAAGUAAUCCCUUCCUUGCUCCCCUUCCCUGAAUAAUUACAAACAGGUCAUGUAUAUACCUACAUAUUUGUGUGUGUCCAUGAGUGAGUGACAGAGAAGAAGGAAAUGGUAAAGCAGAAAGUACUUCCACAGUUUUUGUUUUAUCCAAAAAUUUAAUUGGUAAACAUUCUCUGAUUUAUAACGUUAGUUCCAUGUUAUGAUGCUACUGUUUGCCUCUCCUUAUGGAACUCCACCAAUUUCUAUCUUAGAUCCUAUGGUAUAAGUUCACAAAAUGAUUUCACGUUGACCUUCAGUAUUUUUUAUCUCCACUCCUAAUAAAGUUUCUUUUGAGUCUGAUAAUUUUCACAUUAUAUUAGACGUAGAUGAACAAUUUGUUUUUGAAUAGAUUUCAUUUUUUGACAAUAACUUGUUUUAUUAUUUCAGGUCAACACAACAUGAUGUUCAAAUAGCAUGUGGAAGAUUUCAAUAAUAUGAGAUUUGCUAGAAUUGAAUGAAGGAUAUGCAUUUAGAAAUUUGUUAUUGCGAUUAUUCGAUAGGAAUAUUUACAAUGACAUUAGCUAUUUAGUUUUUUUUAUUAAAUUGGCAUUACAAAUUAGUUCUUGCUUUUUUUUUAUCUUGAGUUAAUGAAUACAAUAUUUUUUCAAGAAUUAUAGUAGCAAGUUUUAUUAGCAUUUACCAUUAUAAUUGUCACAAGUUUUAUUAGUAAUUCCAUUCUAGAAAUGGGUUUAGAACACAUUACAAUAGUCGCCGCACAAUAGCUGCUAAAGCAUGUAACUUUUAGUAGCUAUUUAUUUGGUUUUGGUGACAAUAAAAAUAGAUGCUAAAAGUGUUAAUUGAACCAUUUUGGGAAUGAGUUUAGCUGAAAUUUUAUUGGAUUUAGCGGCAAUUUGAUUGAACGUUAAAAGGUUGCUCGAGUCAUUUUGGGAACGGAUUUAGCGGCCAUUAUAAUUACCGCUACACAAUUGCACUCACUUAAGCCUCUUGUUGGAAUAUUGUGAUUUAUGGUUUGCUCCAAAGCUUGUUCGUGUAUUUAUAUAGAAGUAGUUGUCGCCGUCAUCAUUAAAUCCAAGCAGGUUUUGGUUUCAUUAAUUGUACCCGAAAAUCAAACCUUGUUUGAACUUGGAUCUUCCUUUCUUUCCUUGUAUGUGCGUCAGCUUCCUUGUCAUACUUCAAAUGAUUUAAAUGGCAUUAUUAUUGUAAUUAGAAUUGUAUCUCUUUUUGAACUUUUGAUUUUCAGCGCUAGAAUACAUUGCAGCUUCUACAUCACUUAUCCCUUGAACUAUCCCAGAGACUGAGCUAAACAAACUAGUUGAGUUAGUUGAACUGCCUAUAGCUCUUUAAUUUUCAUCACUUACUAUCAUAGAGUAUGCUUGAUUAACAUUUUGUAAAGGACUCAUCAGAAGGAUGUGACUCCCUGCUUGGGCAAAUGACUCAUUCAAUCCUAUGAGAAACUUAUAAAAUUUAUGUCUCUAUAGAUAUAGAACAAAGUCCUUUGACCUCUCACAGUAGCAUCGAGGUGCAGUAACCAUAGACUAAAACUCAUCCCAACGUUCUUUCAAUUUAGAAUAAUCUAGAGACACAGGCUGAGUAUUGUAGCAAUUUCUUGAUGGAUAUUAAAUGACCUUGAACCUUCAACAUUUUCAAAUAUCUCUUUAGAUAUUCCCACACAGCUUGUGCAUUUGCUGCUAAACUACACCACCAAUCAAAUUGCUAGCUACUGAAUUCAUAAGCCAGGAAAGCACAAUAGUAUUCACACCCUCUUAUGGAUCCCAUAGAGUUUCAAGAUAAUUUUCUUUCUUGCAAUUUUUGUUUACAAAACCUAGUUUAUUCCUUCCUGAAAGUGCAAUUCUGAUAGAUUUAAUCCAGAGAGUAUAAUUCUGAUUCCCUUUCAAUUGAAAAAAAAUUAUAGCAACUCCACCGGCAUAUGUGAAUUGAAGAAAUAAAGGAUGAUAGUAAUUGAUCACUUCUGUAUGAGUAUUGAUUGAUCCAGUCGAUGUACUUGCAUCGGUCGGUACUAUGCCCGAAUUUCCAUUAGCCCCUAUUGAAAUUGAACUCUUUAAUAACAAUAAAAUUCCUUCGAAUGACUGAAUUCUGUGAUGUUGCGAUUGAAUUUUAGCAAUGGCAAUAUAUGAAAUACUUAAGUGAUGACCAGAAUUGGUUAGGCUACUUUGAUACCAUGAAGUUAUCAAAGGACUCAACAAUGGAACCCUAACAAGAUCAAGAGAAGAACCAAGAGAAUUGAGCGAGAAAAGAGCGUAUGAGAGAUACUAUUCCUGUUAAUAGAAGACUACACAUUGAUGUCCUAUUUAUAGUUGAGUACCUAAUUACCUAACGAAUCACUACAAGGUGUAAUGACUAAAAUACCCUUACAGCUAUACAAUUGUAUUGGGCUAAAUUCAUAGAAUACAGCUGAAUGAAUACCAUGAUGAUACGUGUCAGUGGAUAUAGUUCAAGUGAAAGUCAGCAUUCAAAGCCUCCGAAAGAGGCUUAGUGGCUCCGAAGACACUAAAGGGUCCGGAUGCCCGUUGAAGUAGCAUCAGUUGGAAGGCUAACGGUCAACCGUUACAAAUAAGCCUUGCACCUUCCACGGGGCAUUCAUCAGCAUUAUUGUCCUCUUUAUUACUCAUCAUUACUAUGGCAUUAAUUUGUAUUAUUAGUAGGGGAAUGGUUCAUGGUUCAUGGAGCAUGUGUCCCCUUAGCUCAAGUAUAAAUAGGGCUUCUCAUUUUAUUGUAACAGGAACAUGGAAUCCAAGAGAUUUAUACAACAUACAUUUCACACUUG